AAUGGGCGCAAGCCUGAUCCAGCCAUGCCGCGUGCGGGAAGAAGGCCUUCGGGUUGUAAACCGCUUUUGUCAGGGAAGAAAUCCUUUGGGUUAAUACCUCGGAGGGAUGACGGUACCUGAAGAAUAAGCACCGGCUAACUACGUGCCAGCAGCCGCGGUAAUACGUAGGGUGCAAGCGUUAAUCGGAAUUACUGGGCGUAAAGCGUGCGCAGGCGGUUUUGUAAGGCAGAGGUGAAAUCCCCGGGCUCAACCUGGGAACUGCCUUUGUGACUGCAAAGCUGGAGUACGGCAGAGGGGGAUGGAAUUCCGCGUGUAGCAGUGAAAUGCGUAGAUAUGCGGAGGGACACCGAUGGCGAAGGCAAUCCCCUGGGCCUGUACUGACGCUCAUGCACGAAAGCGUGGGGAGCAAG
rnacentral:rRNA from 1 species